rnacentral:lncRNA from 1 species
UCGAAGCCAAAAUCCCGGCCAAACGGCCGGAAUACGCGGCCGAAGACCAGCGGCGCCGCCGCGCCCCCUCUCGAUUUUUGCCUCCGACGAGGCCCUUCCCGGCCUCCGUUUGAUGCAAUUUUUAUAUCACCGUGAUCACCAUUCUUUUCUCUACAGGUUGACCGGAGCCGAAUCACCAAAACACGAACCUCGCCGGAGAGCCGCCGCACCCGAGAGCGCCGCCGCCGGUAAGCUCCGUUUUUC